AACUUGUCGCACUCUGCCAAAAAGGGAAAAAAACCAUAAAAUAAAUAAAGGAGAAUAGAAAUACUCCUCGUUAUUGUCAAGUAGUGUGAGAUCUGACACAGGGUAGUAACUCCACAGUCUGCUGAGAUCACGACGCGGGUUUAAACCCCCUCAUUUUACCUCCUCUCUGUCAUUCUGAGGGAACUGUGGUCUGGACGUGCUUACUGGAGCGUGUGCCGUGCGCGCAGGGCUUUAUGCUGCAGACGUUGUUGGCGGGGAAGGCACUGAACUGCCUAACAAAGAGAACUGGGGCUAGAGUUACGUCAACUGUCUAAACAGAAAACAGGAAAACAAACCAGACUGCAGAAGUUUGGUGAUACAGCAGCAAGCCCACAUCACUCUCUCACCUCUGAGUUUUUAGGAGUUUUUCUCCCCCACAUUUAAACUGAAGAAGUUACUUUUCCUCUCUCUGCAGCAUCACAGUGAUAAUUCACACCAAUUAGUCUAUAAUAUCACAGUGGUUUUGUAUUUCACAUUAAAAGAAUGUUGUGUAACAAUAGACUCUGUUUGGCUAUGAAUAACUGUUAAUAAAUUCCAAAGGCAAUUAUUAACAAAGUUAGUCAUUUUAAUCAAAAUUACCAGGUUGUGGCACCACCUGAUUAUCAGGAAUUAAUAGCCAAACAGCUCUCAGUCUCGGUCAGAUAUUGUUUUAUGAAUACCUGCCCGGUGAGGUGCGGUAUUAUUGAACAAUAGAUGAAGAAGUAAGAUUUGUGUACUGGAGUUCCCAAACAACAAGCCCUGCACACUCAUAUAGCAUAAACACAAACAGCUUCUCUCCAAAAUACAAACAUUUAUCAUCAGAAUAUUUCUACUUCAAGUUAAAGUGCUUCUGUCAACAAACUCUUCAGCAAUACUAAUAACGUUUAACUAGGCUACCCAGUAAAAAUUAAAAGAUUAAGGAAAACUAAUAAACCCCCCAAAAUAAAGAAAACUAAAUAAUAAAGCUGAAAUCAAUAAAUCAUGCAGUGAUAUCACAGUUCAGUGUUAUUGUGUAUGUUUAAAAACUAUUGAAUGUGGAAUGGGGCAAAAUUCUCUUAGUAAGAAGAAGAACUGGUUUGUGUUCAAACCAGUUCACAACACAAAGCAGAGGGAAAAAAAAAAAAACAUUCUUUUUAAUACGUUAACGUUUUGAAAAGCAGUUUUCUGAAUUAGCCAUCAACAACCUUUUGGACAACUGGUUCUUAAUGCUGCAUCAACUAGCCAUCGCAGGAAUUUAUAAACUACUAAGCUAAUGGCUCAAAGCAGAUAUGGACUCACAAUAUGGCCGUCGGGUGGCAGGCGUGGUGAUGUCACAUCCAGGAUUAGCGGCACAACUAACAUCAAAGAAAACAGUAGCUGCUGUGCUAUUUCACAACCCUUCUUAGUCCCAGCUGGACCUUUAGGUACCAUUAUUAAACAUAUUAAUGUGUGUAUGAGUGCUGGCGGCAUGCUACAGCUGCUUCGCAGCUCGAACAGAACGAGCUGUGUAGUAAACGAGACAGAACUUAUAGUGGCUACUGUUUCAGAAUUAGCAGAGCUGUGGCUCUAACAUUAGCAGCUGAGAUAACAGAGACAAAAUGUAGCAUAUUUAUAAGAACUCUGCGGACAUAUUAUAUGCAGAUUAGUGAGUGUGGGUCCCACUAACCCAGGAGUCUUUACUGGUCGUGAACUUUUGGAAACAAAUUUGUACCACUGGGCUCAGUGGCCUGUUAGCACUCAAGCUGUAAAGCACCACAAACAAAGUAAAGAAUGAAA